UCUAAUCAAGUUGUAACACUCGCUGCUGUGGUCCACAGCUUCAUUCCUUGAAGCCCGUGAGACACGAACGCUUCCAUUGAGAAAAACCUUCCAUCAGAAGAAGACUUCUCGUCUCAGUGGGACUGCUGAGUUGAAUGGUGCUUUUUUUUCUGAAGCUUUGGUAGUGUAACUGUAAGAGUCCUGGAAUUGGAAAAGCAAAUCCAGAAGUUGAGUUCCAUGACUUUUUUGCUGUUUGCCUUUGGGUAAGUCUACGAUAUCCAGUUUCUGCAUCUCUCAAUUUUGUUAUAAAGACUAAAUAAGGUAGUAUACAUGUACACAUGUACAG
rnacentral:lncRNA from 10 species